UAACACAAUGUGACGCGGUGCCCUGGAUUGGAUUCUGGAGCAAGAAAAGGGCAGCAGACACAAGUCCCACACUGCCGGGAGUCUUCCCUGAGCUACUGGAUCAGCACAGAAAACAAGCGGUACGGUGCCAGAAGCCAUGGGAGCCACCUCAUACUCUCAGGGUAAAGGCCAGGGAACGUGCGGGGGAGCCAGCCUACACUGCUGAGCCACAUCACGCUGCCACCUACUACCAGAUUUCUCAUCCUGUAAAAACAACCAACUCCUCGUGGUUUAGGCACUUUGUUGCUGCAUUUUGUUGCUUGUAGCCAAAAGCAUUCUUACCUGACCUGGCAAGUGACUCAAUCAGAGCCAGAGAGACACAAAAAGACUUUUGCUAGGAAAGCUGAGACAUCCUCUCAAUUUUCCCUCCUGGACAAGAUCGAGGAGGGAUGUAGCCCCGAGAGCU
rnacentral:lncRNA from 10 species